AUUCCCCUAGUAACUGCGAGUGAAGAGGGAAAAGCUCAAAUUUAAAAUCUGGCAGCUUCGCUGUCCGAGUUGUAAUUUAGAGAAGUGUUACCCGUGUUGGACCGUGUACAAGUCUCCUGGAACGGAGCGUCAUAGAGGGUGAGAAUCCCGUCUUUGACACGGACUACCAAGACUUUGUGGUACGCUCUCAAGAGUCGUGUUGUUUGGGAAUGCAGCACUAAAUGGGUGGUAAAUUCCAUCUAAAGCUAAAUAUUGGCGAGAGACCGAUAGCAAACAAGUACCGUGAGGGAAAGAUGAAAAGAACUUUGGAAAGAGAGUUAAACAGUACGUGAAAUUGUUAAAAGGGAAACGCUUGAAGUCCAGUCGCGUUGGUUGGAAAUCAGUCUUGCUUUUGCUUGAUGUACUUUCUAAUUGACGGGUCAGCAUCAGUUUUGACCGUUGGAUAAAGGUUGAGGGAAUGUGGCAUCCUCGGAUGUGUUAUAGCCCUUGAUUGUAUACAACGGUUGGGACUGAGGAACUCAGCACGCCGAAAGGCC
rnacentral:rRNA from 1 species